AUUGAACGCUGGCGGCAUGCCUUACACAUGCAAGUCGAACGGUAACAGGUCUUCGGAUGCUGACGAGUGGCGAACGGGUGAGUAAUACAUCGGAACGUGCCUAGUAGUGGGGGAUAACUACUCGAAAGAGUGGCUAAUACCGCAUGAGAUCUACGGAUGAAAGCAGGGGAUCGCAAGACCUUGUGCUACUAGAGCGGCCGAUGGCAGAUUAGGUAGUUGGUGGGAUAAAAGCUUACCAAGCCGACGAUCUGUAGCUGGUCUGAGGGGACGAUCAGCCAAAAUGGGACUGAGACACGGCCCAGACUCCUACGGGAGGCAGCAGUGGGGAAUUUUGGACAAUGGGCGAAAGCCUGAUCCAGCAAUGCCGCGUGCAGGAUGAAGGCCUUCGGGUUGUAAACUGCUUUUGUACGGAACGAAAAGCCCUGGGUUAAUACCCUGGGGUCAUGACGGUACCGUAAGAAUAAGCACCGGCUAACUACGUGCCAGCAGCCGCCGUAA
rnacentral:rRNA from 1 species